rnacentral:rRNA from 1 species
UGGGGAAUAUUGGGCAAUGGGCGCAAGCCUGACCCAGCAAUGCCGCGUGAAGGAAGAAGGCCCUCGGGUUGUAAACUUCUUUUAUCAGGGACGAAGGAUGUGACGGUACCUGAUGAAUAAGCUCCGGCUAACUACGUGCCAGCAGCCGCGGUAAUACGUAGGGAGCAAGCGUUAUCCGGAUUUACUGGGUGUAAAGGGCGCGUAGGCGGGAUGGCAAGUCAGAUGUGAAAUCCAGGGGCUCAACCCCUGAACUGCAUUUGAAACUGUCGUUCUUGAGUACUGGAGAGGUUGACGGAAUUCCCAUGAUGUAGCGGUGAAAUGCGUAGAUAUUAGGAGGAACACCAGUGGCGAAGGCGGUCAACUGGACAGCAACUGACGCUGAGGCGCGAAAGCGUGGGGAGCAAACAGGAUUAGAUACCC